AACGCACCUUGCGCCCUUUGGUCCUCCGAAGGGCAUGCCUGUUUGAGUGUCAGUAACUUCUCAACCUCCCUCACUUUGCUGUGAGCUGGCGGAUUGGAUGUGGGGGCUUGCUGGACCUCUCUUGGUUCAGCUCCCCUGAAAUGCAUUAGCAGAAACCGUUACCUUUUGGCGCGCUGCAGCUGUGAUAAUUAUCUACGGCUAUGGCUGGGCUGACUGUGUUGUAGUGCUUGUUCGUCUCUGAGGGGUUGGUCCUAGUGGCCUUCCCUUUGCCUUCUCUCUCACGAGAGAUACCUGUGACGCGAGUGCGCGGGCCAUUCAGCUUCUAACCGUCCCUUUGGGGACAACUAUUGACCAUUUGACCUCAAAUCAGGUAGGACUACCCGCUGAACUUAA
rnacentral:misc_RNA from 1 species